rnacentral:lncRNA from 1 species
ACACUGGGACACCCAGGGGACACCGGAAGGGACUUGGGGACAUCUCUGGGGACACCGGGAGGGACUUGGGGACAUCCUUGGGGACACCGGGAGGGACUUGGGGACACUUCGGGGACCUUGGGACACCUUUGGGGACCCUGGGAAGGAUUUGGGGACACUGGACACCCCUGGGGACACUGGGGACACCCUUGGGGACAUCGCGACCCUUUCGGGGACACCAGGGAGGGCCCGGUUCCGGUUGGGGGCGUGGCUUCAUUAAGCCCCGCCCAUUUCCUGACGUCACCCCGCUGGUCCCGCCCCCCCCUCAGGCGCCGCAGUGCGCCGAGAGCGAGCGGAGCCGAAAAGAGCCGGAAAAAGCCGAACGGAGCCGAGCGCCACCGAACCGGGACACGGAAAGAGCCGAACGGCGGAACAGAACCGGAGGCGAACCGGAGGCGAACCGGAGGCGAACCGGACCCUCCUGAGGGUCCGGCCAUGCCUUGAAGCGGCUCCUCAGAGCCGUCCCGGGCUCUUCCUCCUCGUCCUCCUCAUCCUCGUCCUCCUCCUGCGGCGGGGGAGGAGCCCAUGGGCCGGGCCGGGGGCUGAGGGGCGGCCGGAGACGCUGAACUGGGCCCAAACUGGGCCGAACUGGGCUCGAACUGGGCCCAACUGGGCCCAACUAGGCCGGAGGAAUCGGAACCGAGCCGAAAAGAGCCGAGCUCGUCCGGAAAGAGCCGAAGCGGACUAAACGGAACCGGGCCGGAAGUAAGCGGAGCGGACCGGAAAUAGAGGGAGAGACCGAACCGGGGCUCGGAAAGAGCCGAAAGGGUACGGAAAUUGCCGAAGGGGUACGGAAGUUGCCGAAGGGGUCCGGAAAUUGCCGAAGUGCCGCCAUGUUGCUGUGGCUCCUCCUCGGGCUCCUCGAGGUUCCAGGAGCCCUGGGGGGCUGCGUGGAGGUGGCCUCGGGCACCGAGGCCGUGCUGGGCUCGCCCUUUCGGCUCCUGUGCAUCGCCUGCAAGCGCCGCAGCGAGACCCCGGCCGAGGCCGAGAGCGAGUGGUUCUUCCGGGCAGAGGGGGCAGCCCAGUACCACAAGGUGACUGGGAGCACUGGGAGGGACUGGGAGGGACUGGGAGGGACUGGGAGGGACUGGGAGGGACUGGGAGGGGAUUGGGAA